AGAAAUAUAGCUCGGCGGAAGAGCGACGGGCUCAUAACCCGUAGGACCCUGGAUCGAGACCAGGUAUUGCUA
rnacentral:tRNA from 1 species